CGUGGUAGUGGCGGAUCUUGGGUUUUAGGGCUUAAGAAUUAGCGAGGAAGAAGAUCAAAAGACCCUGGAAGAUGAAAACAAUGUCUUUGUUGGCUGAAAUUGGUUCACAAAGAACAGGAGAGAAAAGUAGAACACAGGUUGCUUCAGUUCAGUGUUUCCGAAGACCAAAUCGAAUGACUCAAAAUGAUAUGCUGGACAGUACUUGGUGGAACAAGGCAACAUCGUUUGGCGUUUACUCUCUAAGAAAGUCACUAGUAAAGACAAAAAAUUCACGAAGGGGGAAGACAAGAGUUGAGGACAGCCCGGAGAUUGAGUUGCCGCCGUCACCUCUGCCAUUGGGCCCAAUUGUCGUCAACAGAGCUCAUCGCCGUUAUCUCCCUCUUAGUUGCCAUCGCAGGUGAGAGUGGUCAGAGAAGUAUGAGUGAGAGGCAAAGGAAGUAGGUCACGGUCACGGAGGCUUGGAGGGUAAAGAUGGGAGUGAAAAAGAUGGAAGUGCGUUCCACAGUUUUCUGCGGUCAGUCCAUAAGAGAGUUGUGCCCUUGAAUACCAUACAAGAACCUUUAUUUCUCCAAUCCCAAUUCUUACACAUUAACAAGGCACUAAUUUUAGCAUUUUCGGGCCUACACCGGCGUAAUUGUUGUGGUACUCGUCAACAGGUAUUGCGGUGGAAGGAGCCACGUGUACAGUGGAGUUUCCCUGGGAAGAGGCUCGUUGAAUUUCCUUCAACAUUUUCAUUGAGUGGAUUCUUAGUCAAGAAAAACAAGGAGAAGAAAGAAGAUAGACACGUGGCUGCCCGCUACAUAAUAUUCAUUUUGGUUAUUGAUAAUAUUGUUAGGGAAAUAUCCUUUAUAGUUGCAUGCAGCUCGUGGGACAAUUUUCGAAACUUCAUGGACUACCUUCUAAA